GACGAACGCUGGCGGCGUGCCUAAUACAUGCAGGUCGAGCGGAUUGAUGGGAGCUUGCUCCCUGAUAUCAGCGGCGGACGGGUGAGUAACACGUGGGCAACCUGCCUAUAAGACUGGGAUAACUUCGGGAAACCGGAUCUAAUACCGGAUAAUCACUUUCCUCUCAUGAGGAAAGGCUGAAAGAUGGUUUACGCUAUCACUUAUAGAUGGGCCCGCGGCGCAUUAGCUAGUUGGUGAGGUAACGGCUCACCAAGGCAACGAUGCGUAGCCGACCUGAGAGGUGGAUCGGCCACACUGGAGCUGAGCCACGGCCCGGACUCCUGCGGGAGGCAGCAGUAGGGAAUCUUCCGCAAUGGACGAAAGUCUGACGGAGCAACGCCGCGUGAGUGAUGAAGGUUUUCGGAUCGUAAAUCUCUGUUGUUAGGGAAGAACAAGUACGAGAGUAACUGCUCGUACCUUGACGGUACCUAACCAGAAAGCCACGGCUAACUACGUGCCAGCCGCCGCCGUAA
rnacentral:rRNA from 1 species